GUGACUUCUCAGUCAUGUUGACACUGGUCUACUACCAGGUCAUGUGUCUUCUCAGUCAUGUUGACACUGGUCCACUACCAGGUCAUGUGUCUUCUCAGUCAUGUUGACACUGGUCUACUACUAGGUCAUGUGUCUUCUCAGUCAUGUUGACACUGGUCUACUACCAGGUCAUGUGUCUUCUCAGUCAUGUUGACACUGGUCUACUACCAUGUCAUGUGUCUUCUCAGUCAUGUUGACACUGGUCUAAUACCAGGUCAUGUGUCUUCUCAGUCAUGUUGACACUGGUCUACUACCAGGUCAUGUGUCUUCUCAGUCAUGUUGACACUGGUCUACUACCAGGUCAUGUGUCUUCUCAGUCAUGUUGACACUGGUCUACUACCAGGUCAUGUGUCUUCUCAGUCAUGUUGACACUGGUCCACUACCAUGUCAGAUACAACAUGUAGAAGACUAAUACUCUGACAACAUACCAUCUGUCCUCACCAGAUACAACACAGUCAAAAACACACAAAUUCUGCUCAUACCUUCAACAGUACAAUGCAAAUAAAUGGACGUCUCAGAACCGUUGGAAACACUACGUGAAGACUCAGUUGGAGAAGAGAAACUCUACAU